GGCCGAUGACGAAGGGUGUCUCUGAGCACACCUGCGAUGACGAGCCCUAUGAGUGCCGAGGCC
rnacentral:snoRNA from 1 species